AAGGAUGUGAGGAGGAAGACGCAGUGAACUGAAACAUCUAAGUAGCUGCAGGAAGAGAAAGCAAAAGCGAUUGCCUUAGUAGCGGCGAGCGAAACGGCAGGAGGGCAAACCGAAGAGUUUACUCUUCGGGGUUGUAGGACUGCAAUGUGGACUCAAAGAUUAUAGAAGAAUGAUUUGGGAAGAUCAGCCAAAGAGAGUAAUAGCCUCGUAUUUAAAAUAGUCUUUGUACCUAGCAGUAUCCUGAGUACGGCGGGACACGUGAAAUCCCGUCGGAAUCUGGGAGGACCAUCUCCCAACCCUAAAUACUCCCUAGUGACCGAUAGUGAACCAGUACCGUGAGGGAAAGGUGAAAAGCACCCCGGGAGGGGAGUGAAAUAGAACCUGAAACCGUGUGCCUACAACAAGUUCGAGCCCGUUAAUGGGUGAGAGCGUGCCUUUUGUAGAAUGAACCGGCGAGUUACGUUAUGAUGCGAGGUUAAGUUGAAGAGACGGAGCCGUAGGGAAACCGAGUCUGAAUAGGGCGCCUUAGUAUCAUGACGUAGACCCGAAACCAUGUGACCUACCCAUGAGCAGGUUGAAGGUGCGGUAAGACGCACUGGAGGACCGAACCAGGGCACGUUGAAAAGUGCUUGGAUGACUUGUGGGUAGCGGAGAAAUUCCAAACGAACUUGGAGAUAGCUGGUUCUCUCCGAAAUAGCUUUAGGGCUAGCGUCGACAUUAGAGAUUCUUGGAGGUAGAGCACUGUUUGGGUGAGGGGUCCAUCCCGGAUUACCAAUCUCAGAUAAACUCCGAAUGCCAAUGAAUUAUGGUCGGCAGUCAGACUGCGAGUGCUAAGAUCCGUAGUCGAAAGGGAAACAGCCCAGACCACCAGCUAAGGUCCCAAAAUAAUUGUUAAGUGGAAAAGGAUGUGGGGUUGCACAGACAACUAGGAUGUUAGCUUAGAAGCAGCUAUUCAUUCAAAGAGUGCGUAAUAGCUCACUAGUCGAGUGACCCUGCGCCGAAAAUGUACCGGGGCUAAAACAAUUUACCGAAGCUGUGGAUACCUUUAUAGGUAUGGUAGGAGAGCGUUCUAUGUGUGAUGAAGGUAUACCGUGAGGAGUGCUGGAACGCAUAGAAGUGAGAAUGCCGGUAUGAGUAGCGAAAGACAGGUGAGAAUCCUGUCCACCGUAAGACUAAGGUUUCCAGGGGAAGGCUCGUCCGCCCUGGGUUAGUCGGGACCUAAGGAGAGACCGAAAGGUGUAUCCGAUGGACAACAGGUUGAUAUUCCUGUACUAGAGUAUGUAGUGAUGGAGGGACGCAGUAGGCUAACUAAAGCAGACGAUUGGAAGAGUCUGUCUAAGCAGUGAGGUGUGAAUUGAGUCAAAUGCUUAAUUCUAUAACAUUGAGCUGUGAUGGGGAGCGAAGUUUAGUAGCGAAGUUAGUGACGUCACACUGCCAAGAAAAGCUUCUAGCGUUUAAACAUACUCUACCCGUACCGCAAACCGACACAGGUAGUCGAGGCGAGUAGCCUCAGGUGAGCGAGAGAACUCUCGUUAAGGAACUCGGCAAAAUGACCCCGUAACUUCGGGAGAAGGGGUGCUGACUUAAAGUCAGCCGCAGUGAAUAGGCCCAAGCAACUGUUUAUCAAAAACACAGCUCUCUGCUAAAUCGUAAGAUGAUGUAUAGGGGGUGACGCCUGCCCGGUGCUGGAAGGUUAAGAGGAGUGCUUAGCGUAAGCGAAGGUAUGAAUUGAAGCCCCAGUAAACGGCGGCCGUAACUAUAACGGUCCUAAGGUAGCGAAAUUCCUUGUCGGGUAAGUUCCGACCCGCACGAAAGGCGUAAUGAUUUGGGCACUGUCUCAACGAGAGACUCGGUGAAAUUUUAGUACCUGUGAAGAUGCAGGUUACCCGCGACAGGACGGAAAGACCCCAUGGAGCUUUACUGCAGUUUGAUAUUGAGUGUCUGUACCACAUGUACAGGAUAGGUAGGAGUCUAAGAGAUCGGGACGCCAGUUUCGAAGGAGACGCUGUUGGGAUACUACCCUUGUGUUAUGGCCACUCUAACCCAGAUAGGUGAUCCCUAUCGGAGACAGUGUCUGACGGGCAGUUUGACUGGGGCGGUCGCCUCCUAAAAGGUAACGGAGGCGCCCAAAGGUUCCCUCAGAAUGGUUGGAAAUCAUUCGCAGAGUGUAAAGGUAUAAGGGAGCUUGACUGCGAGAGCUACAACUCGAGCAGGGACGAAAGUCGGGCUUAGUGAUCCGGUGGUUCCGUAUGGAAGGGCCAUCGCUCAACGGAUAAAAGCUACCCUGGGGAUAACAGGCUUAUCUCCCCCAAGAGUUCACAUCGACGGGGAGGUUUGGCACCUCGAUGUCGGCUCGUCGCAUCCUGGGGCUGUAGUCGGUCCCAAGGGUUGGGCUGUUCGCCCAUUAAAGCGGCACGCGAGCUGGGUUCAGAACGUCGUGAGACAGUUCGGUCCCUAUCCGUCGCGGGCGUAGGAAAUUUGAGAGGAUCUGCUCCUAGUACGAGAGGACCAGAGUGGACUUACCGCUGGUGUACCAGUUGUCUUGCCAAAGGCAUCGCUGGGUAGCUAUGUAGGGAAGGGAUAAACGCUGAAAGCAUCUAAGUGUGAAACCCACCUCAAGAUGAGAUUUCCCAUGAUUAUAUAUCAGUAAGAGCCCUGAGAGAUGAUCAGGUAGAUAGGUUAGAAGUGGAAGUGUGGCGACACAUGUAGCGGACUAAUACUAAUAGCUCGAGGACUUAUCCAAA
rnacentral:rRNA from 1 species